rnacentral:rRNA from 2 species
AUUGUCUGGUGAUGAUGGCGAAGAGGUCACACCCGUUCCCAUGCCGAACACGGAAGUUAAGCUCUUCAGCGCCGAUGGUAGUCGGGGGUUUCCCCCUGUGAGAGUAGGACAUCGCCAGGCAGA